AAUGAACGCUAGCGGCAGGCCUAAUACAUGCAAGUCGAACGGUGUCUUCGGACAUAGUGGCGCACGGGUGCGUAACACGUAUGCAACCUACCUUACAUUGGGGGAUAGCCUUUCGAAAGGGAGAUUAAUACCGCAUAAGACAGUAGCUGGGCAUCCAGCAGCUGUUAAAGAUUUAUCGAUGUCAGCUGGGCAUGCGUCCAAUUAGAUAGUUGGUGAGGUAACGGCUCACCAAGGCAAUGAUUGUUAGGGGAACUGAGAGGUCAAUCCCCCACCCGUGCACGGAGAUACGGGCCAGACUCCUACGGGAGGAAGCAGUAGGGAAUAUUGGGCAAUGGACGCAAGUCUUACCCAGCCAUGCCGCGUGCAGGAUGAAGGCGUUAUGCGUUGUAAACUGCUUUUAUACAGGAAGAAACGACUCUUGCGAGAGGCAUUGACGGUACUGUAUGAAUAAGCACCGGCUAACUCCGUGCCAGCAGCCGCGGUAAUAC
rnacentral:rRNA from 1 species